rnacentral:rRNA from 1 species
AACGAACGCUGGCGGCAUGCCUAACACAUGCAAGUCGAACGAGUGCCUUCGGGUGCUAGUGGCGCACGGGUGCGUAACGCGUGGGAAUCUGCCCUUUGGUCUGGGAUAACCGUUGGAAACGACGGAUAAUACCGGAUGAUGGCGUAAGUCCAAAGAGUUAUCGACAGAGGAUGAGCCCGCGUAGGAUUAGCUAGUUGGUGGGGUAAAGGCCUACCAAGGCGACGAUCUUUAGCUGGUCUGAGAGGAUGAUCAGCCACACUGGGACUGAGACACGGCCCAGACUCCUACGGGAGGCAGCAGUGGGGAAUAUUGGACAAUGGGCGAAAGCCUGAUCCAGCAAUGCCGCGUGAGUGAUGAAGGCCUUAGGGUUGUAAAGCUCUUUUACCAGGGAUGAUAAUGACAGUACCUGGAGAAUAAGCUCCGGCUAACUCCGUGCCAGCCGCCGCGGUAA